rnacentral:rRNA from 1 species
UACGGAGGGGGCAAGCGUUGUUCGGAAUCAUUGGGCGUAAAGGGCUCGUAGGCGGCCAACUAAGUCGGACGUGAAAUCCCCAGGCUCAACCUGGGAACUGCGUCCGAUACUGGAUGGCUUGAAUCCGGGAGAGGGAUGCAGAAUUCCAGGUGUAGCGGUGAAAUGCGUAGAUAUCUGGAGGAAUACCGGUGGCGAAGGCGGCAUCCUGGACCGGCAUUGACGCUGAGUGAGCGAAAGCCAGGGGAGCAACGGG